GGUGGGAGAGGAGAGUGGGGUGGGGGCUGCGGAGCCCCGGGACGGGGCGCGGUGAUGGCGGCGGCGCAGGCAGCGCAUUGUCAUGGCCCCACCCUGAAAAGCGCCUGGGAAUCCAGGUUAGAGGUCUGGCUUGAGAAGGGCCCAAAAAGCAAAUAAACCUAGUGCUUGGAGAAGCCCGGAGGCCGCCUGCCCGGAGCGGCGGAGGGGCCCGCCCCCGCCGUCUCACCCUCCGGGAGCCCAGCCUGGCCGAUGGGUCGGCGGGGCCACACCCCGCACUUGUUUCCGCAAGUGGACGGGGCGGGAUUGGGUCCGGCCCUGGGGGACGGCCCCACACACACAGUGACUCACUGCGCCGCCACCCUGCGAGGUGGCCUUGGGCAGACUGUGCCCUCCGCGGAGGAGCGGCUGGGUGGGCCUGCUGGGACGAGUAACGUCCACGACACACCUACCAGGAGCCGCCCAGCGCUCGCCCUUCACGGGCCUAAUCCAACUCAGUCCUCUCGACGCAUCGUGCAGCUCUGAAGGUCUAGGGUAUUUCACCACUGGAAGUUCAGCAAAUAAUGGCAUGACAAUUCAGAGGAUGAAUCAAGGAAGCUUCAGAGGACCAGUGUUUGGACCAUGUCAAUACAUGGAGAGGAAGAGGGUAACAAGGACCUACUCCAUAGCAGAUCAUGGGGCAGCAGUUUGCCAGUGUGCUCCCACUUGGUUAAGGCCAGCAGCUGCUGUGUCCAGGACGAUCGCUCAGGAAGCUGGCUCAGCAGCACGGCGAAGAGGACUGCAGCCCGGGAAUGCGAGAGCAGCCUGAUUAAACAUCAUGAUGUCUGCGUGCCACAGCAGGGCUCACCCACCUAGCAAGAUUCACCUCUGACAGCACAAGCCUGUGGGUUCCUAGUACGUUGUACUGUCUGCUCACUAAGCCUGACCGAAACUACCCUUGCUCCUGCCCAAGGGCCUGUGCAAAGACAUCUUUCUCACAGCCAGACUCUCCAAGACAGUGAAUUCUAAAGUCCUCCUCACUGUCUGCAGCUGCCUCACUGGCCA